ACAUCAACAGAGGAGUAAACUGGCUUCAAAGUCAGAUGGAAAAAGUGCUUAGCAGUAACCCUUGAAUUACACCUCUUGUAUUGGGAUGUUUCUAGAUAGGUGAGCAUCUACUCGAUAACCACAACAGGCCGCAUUAUUUUGGUUCGGGGAAUCAUGUUUCUCUCAUUAUUUAGCCCUACCAAUGGGGGAUUUUGUAAUUUUGCUUAUUUUGAAUUCUUUUUAGAUUUCAUUGCUGAUGAUUCAUAGAUAUAUGUUUUGAGUUCUAAUUCAUAGUCAUCCUCAA
rnacentral:misc_RNA from 1 species